rnacentral:rRNA from 1 species
UACGAAGGGGGCUAGCGUUGUUCGGAUUUACUGGGCGUAAAGCGCACGUAGGCGGAUCUUUAAGUCAGAGGUGAAAUCCCAAGGCUCAACCUUGGAACUGCCUUUGAUACUGGGGAUCUUGAGUCCGGGAGAGGUGAGUGGAACUGCGAGUGUAGAGGUGAAAUUCGUAGAUAUUCGCAAGAACACCAGUGGCGAAGGCGG